GGGUUGUGAGGUUAAGCGACUAAGCGUACACGGUGGAUGCCCUGGCAGUCAGAGGCGAUGAAGGACGUGCUAAUCUGCGAUAAGCGUCGGUAAGGUGAUAUGAACCGUUAUAACCGGCGAUUUCCGAAUGGGGAAACCCAGUGUGAUUCGUCACACUAUCAUUAACUGAAUCCAUAGGUUAAUGAGGCGAACCGGGGGAACUGAAACAUCUAAGUACCCCGAGGAAAAGAAAUCAACCGAGAUUCCCCCAGUAGCGGCGAGCGAACGGGGAGCAGCCCAGAGCCUGAAUCAGUGUGUGUGUUAGUGGAAGCGUCUGGAAAGGCGCGCGAUACAGGGUGACAGCCCCGUACACAAAAAUGCACAUGCUGUGAGCUCGAUGAGUAGGGCGGGACACGUGGUAUCCUGUCUGAAUAUGGGGGGACCAUCCUCCAAGGCUAAAUACUCCUGACUGACCGAUAGUGAACCAGUACCGUGAGGGAAAGGCGAAAAGAACCCCGGCGAGGGGAGUGAAAAAGAACCUGAAACCGUGUACGUACAAGCAGUGGGAGCACAGAGCAAUCUGUGUGACUGCGUACCUUUUGUAUAAUGGGUCAGCGACUUAUAUUCUGUAGCAAGGUUAACCGAAUAGGGGAGCCGAAGGGAAACCGAGUCUUAACUGGGCGUUAAGUUGCAGGGUAUAGACCCGAAACCCGGUGAUCUAGCCAUGGGCAGGUUGAAGGUUGGGUAACACUAACUGGAGGACCGAACCGACUAAUGUUGAAAAAUUAGCGGAUGACUUGUGGCUGGGGGUGAAAGGCCAAUCAAACCGGGAGAUAGCUGGUUCUCCCCGAAAGCUAUUUAGGUAGCGCCUCGUGAAUUCAUCUCCGGGGGUAGAGCACUGUUUCGGCAAGGGGGUCAUCCCGACUUACCAACCCGAUGCAAACUGCGAAUACCGGAGAAUGUUAUCACGGGAGACACACGGCGGGUGCUAACGUCCGUCGUGAAGAGGGAAACAACCCAGACCGCCAGCUAAGGUCCCAAAGUCAUGGUUAAGUGGGAAACGAUGUGGGAAGGCCCAGACAGCCAGGAUGUUGGCUUAGAAGCAGCCAUCAUUUAAAGAAAGCGUAAUAGCUCACUGGUCGAGUCGGCCUGCGCGGAAGAUGUAACGGGGCUAAACCAUGCACCGAAGCUGCGGCAGCGACACUAUGUGUUGUUGGGUAGGGGAGCGUUCUGUAAGCCUGUGAAGGUGUACUGUGAGGUAUGCUGGAGGUAUCAGAAGUGCGAAUGCUGACAUAAGUAACGAUAAAGCGGGUGAAAAGCCCGCUCGCCGGAAGACCAAGGGUUCCUGUCCAACGUUAAUCGGGGCAGGGUGAGUCGACCCCUAAGGCGAGGCCGAAAGGCGUAGUCGAUGGGAAACAGGUUAAUAUUCCUGUACUUGGUGUUACUGCGAAGGGGGGACGGAGAAGGCUAUGUUGGCCGGGCGACGGUUGUCCCGGUUUAAGCGUGUAGGCUGGUUUUCCAGGCAAAUCCGGAAAAU
rnacentral:rRNA from 1 species